rnacentral:snoRNA from 1 species
CAACUCCCAUUAUGUACCAGCAGGGUUUUUGUUUUUAUAGAAAUGUACAAGCCCUGCCAGCUUCGGAGAUGGGAGGGAAGACAAGCCUGUCAGAGACCCAUUCCAUUCCCAGUUUGCUCAGUAGCUGAUGAUUGGAAGAUGCUCUGCAACAGUG